GCCUGGUGGCUCAGUUGGUUAAGCAUCUGAUUUUGGCUCAGCUCAUGAUCUCACCUUUCGUGGGUUCGAGCCCCGCAUCGGGCU
rnacentral:tRNA from 1 species